rnacentral:rRNA from 1 species
CACGUAGGCGGAUUUGUAAGUCAGGGGUGAAAUCCCGGGGCUCAACCUCGGAACUGCCUUUGAUACUGCAAAUCUCGAGUCCGGAAGAGGUAAGUGGAAUUCCUAGUGUAGAGGUGAAAUUCGUAGAUAUUAGGAAGAACACCAGUGGCGAAGGCGGCUCACUGGUCCGGUACUGACGCUGAGGUGCGAAAGCGUGGGGAGGCAAAACA